CCUACGGAGGGCUGCAGUGGGGAAUAUUGGACAAUGGGGGGAACCCUGAUCCAGCCAUGCCGCGUGUGUGAAGAAGGCCCUCGGGUUGUAAAGCACUUUCAGUGAGGAAGAACGCCUGGUGGUUAAUACCCAUCAGGAAAGACAUCACUCACAGAAGAAGCACCGGCUAACUCCGUGCCAGCAGCCGCGGUAAUACGGAGGGUGCGAGCGUUAAUCGGAAUUACUGGGCGUAAAGCGCGCGUAGGUGGCUUGAUAAGCCGGUUGUGAAAGCCCCGGGCUCAACCUGGGAACGGCAUCCGGAACUGUCAAGCUAGAGUGCAGGAGAGGAAGGUAGAAUUCCCGGUGUAGCGGUGAAAUGCGUAGAGAUCGGGAGGAAUACCAGUGGCGAAGGCAGCCUUCUGGACUGACACUGACACUGAGGUGCGAAAGCGUGGGUAGCAAACAGGAUUAGAUACCCGUGUAGUC
rnacentral:rRNA from 1 species